rnacentral:rRNA from 1 species
UACGUAGGGUGCGAGCGUUAAUCGGAAUUACUGGGCGUAAAGGGUGCGCAGGCGGUUAUAUAAGACAGAUGUGAAAUCCCCGGGCUCAACCUGGGAACUGCGUUUGUGACUGUAUGACUAGAGUACGGUAGAGAGGGGUGGAAUUCCUGGUGUAGCAGUGAAAUGCGUAGAUAUCAGGAGGAACACCGGUGGCGAAGGCGGCUAUCUGGACAGAGUCUGACGCUGAGGCGCGAAAGCUAGGGGGAGCAAACAGG